AAUCAACGCUGGCGGCGUGCCUCAGACAUGCAAGUCGAACGCGAAAGUCCCCUUCGGGGGACGAAGUAGAGUGGCGCACGGGUGAGUAACACGUAGGUAAUCUACCUUUGGAUGGGGAAUAACAACCGGAAACGGUUAGCUAAUACCGCAUGAUGCAGCGGCACCUAAUGGUGACAGUUGUUAAAGCGGGGGAUCGAAAGACCUCGCGUCUAAAGAGGAGCCUGCGGCGGAUUAGCUAGUUGGUAAGGUAAUGGCUUACCAAGGCUACGAUCCGUAACCGGCCUGAGAGGGCGGUCGGUCACACUGACACUGACAUACGGGUCAGACUCCUACGGGAGGCAGCAGUCGGGAAUUUUGGGCAAUGGGCGAAAGCCUGACCCAGCAACGCCGCGUGAAGGAUGAAAUCCCUCGGGAUGUAAACUUCGCAAGAACGGGAAGAAUUAGUAGGGUCAUACCCCUAUGAUGACGGUACCGUUUGUAAGCUCCGGCUAACUCCGUGCC
rnacentral:rRNA from 1 species